rnacentral:piRNA from 1 species
UCCCAACCUUUUACUUCCAUUGUAACUUUCC